GACCUCACAGUGAAAUGCUGAAUACAACAGUUGUAGUAGACCUCACAGUGAAAUGCUGAAUACAACAGGUGUAGUAGACCUCACAGUGAAAUGCUGAAUACAACAGGUGUAAGUAGACCUUACAGUGAAAUGCUGAAUACAACAGGUGUAGUAGACCUCACAGUGAAAUGCUGAAUACAACAGGUGUAGUAGACCUUACAGUGAAAUGCUGAAUACAACAGGUGUAGUAGACCUUACAGUGAAAUGCUGAAUACAACAGGUGUAGUAGACCUCACAGUGAAAUGCUGAAUACAACAGGUGUAGUAGACCUUACAGUGAAAUGCUGAAUACAACAGGUGUAGUAGACCUCACAGUGAAAUGCUGAAUACAACAGGUGUAGUAGACCAUACAGUGAAAUGCUGAAUACAACAGGUGUAGUAGACCUUACAGUGAAAUGCUGAAUACAACAGGUGUAGUAGACCUCACAGUGAAAUGCUGAAUACAACAGGUGUAGUAGACCACACAGUGAAAUGCUGAAUACAACAGGUGUAGUAGACCUUACAGUGAAAUGCUGAAUACAACAGGUGUAGUAGACCUCACAGUGAAAUGCUGAAUACAACAGGUGUAGUAGACCACACAGUGAAAUGCUGAAUACAACAGGUGUAGUAGACCAUACAGUGAAAUGCUGAAUACAACAGGUGUAGUAGACCUUACAGUGAAAUGCUGAAUACAACAGGUGUAGUAGACCUUACAGUGAAAUGCUGAAUACAACAGGUGUAGUAGACCUUACAGUGAAAUGCUGAAUACAACAGGUGUAGUAGACCUUACAGUGAAAUGCUGAAUACAACAGGUGUAGUAGACCUAACAGUGAAAUGCUGAAUACAACAGGUGUAGUAGACCUCACAGUGAAAUGCUGAAUACAACAGGUGUAGUAGACCUCACAGUGAAAUGCUGAAUACAACAGGUGUAGUAGACCUCACAGUGAAAUGCUGAAUACAACAGGUGUAGUAGACCUCACAGUGAAAU